UCGCAAUGGGCGAAAGCCUGACGCAGCCAUGCCGCGUGAAUGAUGAAGGUCUUAGGAUUGUAAAAUUCUUUCACCGGGGACGAUAAUGACGGUACCCGGAGAAGAAGCCCCGGCUAACUUCGUGCCAGCAGCCGCGGUAAUAUGAAGGGGGCUAGCGUUGCUCGGAAUUACUGGGCGUAAAGGGAGCGUAGGCGGACAUUUAAGUCAGGGGUGAAAUCCCGGGGCUCAACCUCGGAAUUGCCUUUGAUACUGGGUGUCUUGAGUAUGAGAGAGGUGUGUGGAACUCCGAGUGUAGAGGUGAAAUUCGUAGAUAUUCGGAAGAACACCAGUGUCGAAGGUGACACACUGGCUCAUUAGUGAUGGUGAGGCUUGAAAGCGUGGGGAGCAAACAGG
rnacentral:rRNA from 1 species